UGUCAGAAGUGGGAUUCGAACCCACACCCACAAGAGUGGUCUGCGACCUGAACGCAGCGACUUAGACCGCUCGGCCAUACUGAC
rnacentral:tRNA from 13 species